GUCUGGCCUGCUGGGUACCGUUCNUUUUCUCGCCUGCCUUCGAAGUGAGUGCACGUGUGAGUGGACGGCUCGCUGCUGGGCAGCCUGGAGGGAGACGGAGGGCGGCUGUCUGGAUGUCGUCAGGGGCCAGCACCCGUCUGUUUCUCCGUGCAUUUCCACACCAGAAGGUUCAAUGGCAGUUGAGAUACCUGAGAAUUGGGGGAAAGCUGCAUCUUCUUUUGUCCGGACAAGNUCUGAGGACAGAAGGAUUUGGAUAAUCUCCAAGAUGAAAGCGGAAGCACCUCGAUUCAGCGCUGCAACACCAACUGGAUGAAUCAUCUCAGUUCACCCGAGGAUUCUAGCCAUGCCCAGUCCUCUCUAGGACGCCGGCUUCAUUUGCAGAACUGCCGAAUUCCGGGUCAGUAUGGAAACACCGUAACUUUGCUCUGGAAAGCUUAGCAUUAGCCCUUCACCUGUAAGGACCCUCUCUGCUUACCUAUAAGAAAUGCACGUUUCACUAGAUCUUGUCAGUUGCUUUUACUGCUGUUCUAGAGCUCAGAGCUUGAGCUUUAGAACAGAUGCUAGCCUGGAACUCAGACAUUUGCCAGUCAGCGGUGGGAUUAUAGCAUUUCUCUUUAAAUUAAAUUAAAACUCUGGCGCGGGAGGGAAGUUGAUAUAGACAGUGACUACUUAAUGGAUUUGUUGCCAGACAGUAUAUGCAAAAAAAAAAGUCAAUAAAUUUCUACUUUUAAAUAUUUUACA
rnacentral:lncRNA from 1 species